AACAAAUUCUCUCCAAACAUGGCUGUCACAAAUUCAGGAGUGGAAUAUCGAGAAAGGGUUUGCGGUGGCUGUCUUGUGAUAUUAUACACAUAUUAAAGGAGAUUCAUGACCCGACCGUCAAGGCGUCAAAUAGGAUGAAAUAGCCGUCGCGCUCUCCUUUAUACUAGUAAAGUCACAUCAUUGAGGUAUGGCAGCUAGCAAAGAUCAAGUUGAAGAACUCUGUCCUCAUAUAACUCUAACAGAUGUUGGAAAAUACUCUUUGGCACAACUUUGUGUGUACAUUUUGUCUAAUAUAAAUGAAACCCAAUCCGAUGUUGUUUGGUCUCAAUCAUAUAUUUCAAAAAUUGUUGAAGAUUUAGGUCUGCCCUUGUCUGUAGCAACAUCGUUCCAUUUGAUGCUAGAUGAAACCGAGGGAAGUGAGGAUGAUAAAAACAUUGAACUAUUGGUAAAUACUCUAAAAGAUGAGGCAAGUCUUAGUGAGGACAUCAGUUUAUUGGGUCAGGAAUUGAUUCGUUUAUCCAUAAAGCAAGGAGGCUAUGAUGCAAGAGCAAGGGUUUUGAUUUAUAUUUUUGCAUGUAAAUUGGGAACAAGAGAAGAGGAGAUUGAAUCAUAUGAAGAUGACUUAGCAGAUCGUUUGAAUGUUCUUAUUGAACAAGAUACAGAAGUUCAUGAAGAAGCUGACAAAAGGAAGUCGUACAGGAAAAAGAAAAAAGCAUUUAUGAUAGGGCUUGGGGUUGUUGCAGGUGGAGCAAUUAUUGGACUAACUGGAGGAUUAGCUGCUCCUGUUGUUGCUGCAAGUGCAGGUGCAUUGAUUGGAGGAGGGGGAGCAACAUUCUUAGCCUCAUCUGCUGGAAUAGCAUUUAUCACAUCUGUAUUUGGAGCAACAGGUGCAGGUCUAACCGGUUAUAAGAUGAGUCGACGUGUUGGUAUGACUGAGGAGUUUAGUUUUUUACAUCUGUCCGACUGUAUGCACCGUUUGCACGUGACAAUAUGUGUAUCUGGCUGGCUAAUGGAAAGUGGCACUGUAGAGUUUAUCACCCAGUGGUCAGCACUUUCACCAUCACUAGAAGCUUACUCAUUAGUGUGGGAAAGUAAAUUCUUGUUAGAAUUGGGCUCAGCAAUUCGGGAUAUAAUUACGACGAAUGUGUUAGGUACAGCAGCAACAGAAGCUCUCAAAUAUACUGUUUUGCAAGGUAUCAUGGCAGCUAUUGCAUGGCCUGUCACUCUAUUGAGUGCUGCGUACUUGAUCGAUAAUCCCUGGAGUGUGUGUGCUAGCCGUGCUAAAGAAGUUGGCAAAGAACUAGCACGAGUUCUAUUAUUACGCAAUCAAGGAAAACGCCCAGUAAAUCUGGUUGGUUUCAGCCUGGGUGCACGUGUAAUAUACUAUUGUUUGGAAGAGCUCAGUGCACACGCUGACUCCGGGGGAAUAGUUCAGAAUGUGAUAGUACUCGGAGCACCAGUAAGCGGAAAUGCUGACAAGUGGCAAAGACUUACAGAUGUUGUUGCUGGUACAAUUUUUAACGGGUUUUGCCGUAAAGAUUGGUUCCUGAGAUUCAUCUAUAGAGCUUCUUCAUUGCGUGCUUCCAUUGCUGGUUUAUGCGAGAUUCCUUGGAAGAGCAAGAAGAUGAUCAACCUUGAUCUCACUGAAAUCAUUAACGGUCAUAUGGACUAUUCUGAUCCUGAAAAUCUAAGAAUAAUUUUUGAAAUGAUCGGAGUAAGAACGAACAGCAAUAAAAGGCGAUUAUCCAUUGAUUCCAAAGAGGAUUCUACGUAUUGUUUUGUUGAUCAUAUGCCAGAGAAGCAAACAGAUACUGCCAGCAACACUCCUGUCGCUGAAGAUAUCACUUAGUGUAUUAAAACAACAUGUUGAAGAACAAUGGCAUUCUCUGUUUGAAGCUUAAUUCUGACAAUCGGGCAUAUGAUAUAAACGCAGUAUUUGUGACUAAACAGUUAUAAAAAUAUUUAUUUGUAAACAAUUAUAUACUACAAUAUAAU
rnacentral:misc_RNA from 1 species